rnacentral:rRNA from 1 species
UGAGGAAUAUUGGUNAAUGGCGGAAGCCUGAACCAGCCAAGUCGCGUGAGGGAAGAAGGCCCUGCGGGUCGCAGACCUCUUUGGACGGGGAGCAAGGCCGCGGACGUGUCCGCGGAAGGAGAGUACCCGUAGAACAAGCAUCGGCUAACUACGUGCC